rnacentral:rRNA from 1 species
CCUACGGGUGGCUGCAGUGGGGAAUUUUGGACAAUGGGCGCAAGCCUGAUCCAGCCAUGCCGCGUGCAGGAAGAAGGCCUUCGGGUUGUAAACUGCUUUUGUCAGGGAAGAAAUCCUUUGGGUUAAUACCUCGGAGGGAUGACGGUACCUGAAGAAUAAGCACCGGCUAACUACGUGCCAGCAGCCGCGGUAAUACGUAGGGUGCGAGCGUUAAUCGGAAUUACUGGGCGUAAAGCGUGCGCAGGCGGUUAUGCAAGACAGAUGUGAAAUCCCCGGGCUCAACCUGGGAACUGCAUUUGUGACUGCAUGACUAGAGUACGGCAGAGGGAGAUGGAAUUCCGCGUGUAGCAGUGAAAUGCGUAGAUAUGCGGAGGAACACCGAUGGCGAAGGCAAUCUCCUGGGCCUGUACUGACGCUCAUGCACGAAAGCGUGGGGAGCAAACAGGAUUAGAUACCCCAGUAGUC